UUUUGACGAGCUCAUCGGCGUAAGCAGAGGCGGCACGGACGGUGAGAGAGGAAGGUGUGACGUUGUUACGAAUAGCAGAGACGGAGGAAGGUUGACGGAGGAGGAGACUCUGUCCUUUAACCCAAUCAGAUUUGACUGGUGAGGCUUUCAGCAUAGUCGCACUGCUUGACGCCAUUUUUGCCUGCUUCUUGAUUAAUGGAAACAAAACGCUUAUAACGCUCUCACCACAAUACACACAC
rnacentral:lncRNA from 1 species